AGCAGCCGCGGUAAUUCCAGCUCCAAUAGCGUAUAUUAAAGUUGUUGCAGUUAAAAAGCUCGUAGUUGAAUUUCGGGGUUCUACCGUUGGUCGGGCUUUGUCUGUACUGGCGUGUAGAAUUUCUACCUUCUGGGGAACUAUCAUGUUAUUAAUUUAGCGCGGUAGGAAACCAGGACCUUUACCUUGAAAAAAUUAGAGUGUUCAAAGCAGGCUUAUGUCUGAAUACAUUAGCAUGGAAUAAUAGAAUAGGACGGUGGUCCUGUUUUGUUGGUUUCUGAAUCACCGUAAUGAUUAAUAGGGAUAGUUGGGGGCAUUAGUAUUCAAUUGUCAGAGGUGAAAUUCUUGGAUUUAU
rnacentral:rRNA from 1 species